CGUAUUGUUAGUUUGUGGAUUAUUUAUGUAUUUAGUUUUUAUAUUAUGUUCCAUUUUUAUUUCAUUUUUUUGUAAUUUUUCGUUAUUUUAUAAUUUUUCUUUGUGUUUGUGUCGUGAUAUCUGUUGUAACUUGUGGGCACAGUGCUGUAUGUUAAAGCUUGGUAGGGAGGUACUGGGGGUGUAGCGAGUUGUUCCUCCCGGCCAGGAGAAAAC